UACGGGGGGGGCAAGCGUUGUUCGGAAUUACUGGGCGUAAAGGGCUCGUAGGCGGCCAACUAAGUCAGAUGUGAAAGCCCCGGGCUCAACCUGGGAACUGCAUUUGAAACUGGCGGGCUUGAGUGUGGCAGAGGGGGGUGGAAUUCCGCGUGUAGCAGUGAAAUGCGUAGAGAUGCGGAGGAACACCGAUGGCGAAGGCAGCCCCCUGGGCCAACACUGACGCUCAGGCACGAAAGCGUGGGGAGCAAACAGG
rnacentral:rRNA from 1 species